rnacentral:rRNA from 2 species
CGCCGCGUGAGUGAUGAAGGUUUUCGGAUCGUAAAGCUCUGUUGUUAGGGAAGAACAAGUACCGUUCGAAUAGGGCGGUACCUUGACGGUACCUAACCAGAAAGCCACGGCUAACUACGUGCCAGCAGCCGCGGUAAUACGUAGGUGGCAAGCGUUGUCCGGAAUUAUUGGGCGUAAAGGGCUCGCAGGCGGUUUCUUAAGUCUGAUGUGAAAGCCCCCGGCUCAACCGGGGAGGGUCAUUGGAAACUGGGGAACUUGAGUGCAGAAGAGGAGAGUGGAAUUCCACGUGUAGCGGUGAAAUGCGUAGAGAUGUGGAGGAACACCAGUGGCGAAGGCGACUCUCUGGUCUGUAACUGACGCUGAGGAGCGAAAGCGUGGGGAGCGAACAGGAUUAGAUACCCUGGUAGUCCACGCCGUAAACGAUGAGUGCUAAGUGUUAGGGGGUUUCCGCCCCUUAGUGCUGCAGCUAACGCAUUAAGCACUCCGCCUGGGGAGUACGGUCGCAAGACUGAAACUCAAAGGAAUUGACGGGGGCCCGCACAAGCGGUGGAGCAUGUGGUUUAAUUCGAAGCAACGCGAAGAACCUUACCAGGUCUUGACAUCCUCUGACAAUCCUAGAGAUAGGACGUCCCCUUCGGGGGCAGAGUGACAGGUGGUGCAUGGUUGUCGUCAGCUCGUGU